GAUUCUGAGACACGAAUCCAGGCCCUACGGGGUGCAGCAGGCGCGAAAACUUUACAAUGCUGGCAACAGCGAUAAGGGAACCUCGAGUGCCAGGUUACAAAUCUGGCUGUCGAGAUGCCUAAAAAGCAUUUCAUAGCAAGGGCCGGGCAAGACCGGUGCCAGCCGCCGCGGUAACACCGGCGGCUCGAGUGGUAACCGUUAUUAUUGGGUCUAAAGGGUCUGUAGCCGGCCGGAUAAGUCUCUUGAGAAAUCUGGCAGCUUAACUGUCAGGCUUUCAGGAGAUACUGUCUGGCUCGAGGCCGGGAGAGGUGAGAGGUACUUCAGGGGUAGGGGUGAAAUCUUGUAAUCCUUGAAGGACCACCAGUGGCGAAGGCGUCUCACCAGAACGGACCUGACGGCAAGGGACGAAAGCUAGGGGCACGAACCGGAUUAGAUACCCGGGUAGUCCUAGCCGUAAACGAUACUCGCUAGGUGUCGGCCACGGUGCGACCGUUGUCGGUGCCGUAGGGAAGCCG
rnacentral:rRNA from 1 species